CCAACCGGAGUGGGACAGCCUCAUUCUCUCUCCACCCCUCUUCUCGCACGCACCUCUCGCGAUCCUCUUCUCCACUGCGCCGCCGCCGCCGCCGCCAGCUGUCGCCCCGGCUGGUACCUGCCGCAUCCGCCGCCACCGUCGACCGGUGGAACUCCGGAGUCUCUCCUCUGCUACUUUCUCCGCCGCCACGAUGUACGCCCGUGCCCGCACGCGUUGCUACGUGAAACCCUAGCUUAGCAGCUUGGGCUCGCCGGCGCUGUUCUGGACGCCUCCCGCUGAUACCGGCGCGGGCAUGGGACCACCGGCGCUGCUCAGUGACAUCGCCAUGGACCCCUCUGCUAGAUCCAAGCCUCCGCGCCACCCUACAUCACCCAAGCGCGCGUGCCCGCGAAACCCUAGCCGUGGAGCUCGGGCUCGCGACAUGGUGCCCGCGCCUGCGCCCCCACUGCUCCCCCUCGUCAACCACGAGCUUCCCUGCUUUCCUAUGCUCCUGCUACCCCGACGUCGACGACUACCACAUGUUGUUGUCGCCUGGUUGGCCGGGGCCUCCCCACCAUGGUGCGGUGGUAGGCUGCGGUUGCCCUCUCCUUUUGUUCAGCGACCUCGAUGGCUUCACCACGGCCACAACUACCACUAUGAGCUAUUUCUUCUCCCUUCUAUAUUGAGCCUGCAGCAUAAACUCUAUAUUUUGAACUGACUAUACACUAAUACACAUCUCUAUACAUUAGGGCUGACUUACCAAGUGCAGAUGUAAUAUUGUAGUUGUAGUAGUACAUAGGGCGGGGAUUCUGAUUAUUUGCCUAAUUGUCACAUUGGUGCUUUGUAUCGAGAUCAGUUCACAUAUGUGUUGUGCAUAGCACACUUCAAGCGUGCAACUGUCUCUAACUGGUCCUACUCUAGGUUUCAUACACAUUAUCUGAUAUAGUUGGAUUUGAUGCUGAGACGUCCUGGAGUCCUUGUAUUCUGUAGCAUGCUGGGGGAGACACAGAAUCAGUAGAAAAAACCUACACUGUCUGCUUGCUAAAUUACAAUGGAUAGAGAACCACACGUGCAUAAGUUGAUAGGUCUACUUUUGUUCAGACUAUCCAAAUAACUAUCUAGCCGUUGUCCUAGAACUGAUAUGCAUCCAUUUUUAGUCAGGUGGUCCCCCUUUCCCUGCUUCCCUAUGUUCCUGCUACCCUGACAUCGAUGACUGCCUGUUGUUGUUGCCUGGGUGAUCGGGGCCUCCCCACCGUGGUGUGGUGGUAGGCUGUGGCUUCCCUCUCCUCUUCUUCAGGAAUCUCACUGCUCAUGUGCAACCAUACAUAGAAGCUCAUUGCUAGUACUAAUCUUGUUACAAGUAGCAGUUGUUAGUAUAUUGGCAUGCACCUAAGUGGUCAUGAUGUCUCUACCUCCAGCAAGAAGUAAGAUGUAUGAUGUAAUUUGGAUAGUAGUAGCAGCUAGCACUUACUCAGCUAGCUGUACAUGAGCUGCAUGUUAGUGACUUGCCAAAGUCAAUUUCGCUAGUCACGUGAGUUGUUUGAGUGAGCUGUAAACUACCGCAGCUUGCAUAAGAGGACCUUAUCUCCUUGUAGAAGAAAGCUGAUUGUAGUGUAUGUGAAGAUUGCAUUAAGGUUCAUACUAGCUCCUGUGCCGUGUACAUGGGAAACCAGAGGGGAUUCUGGUGAGAGCUGGUAGCCAGCUCUAACAUUCAUAAUAUGAUAUUGACAUCAGCUACUAGACUUUACUGAGAAAAAUAUUCGGUGAGUAAUCUUAUGUCCAAAAUUGACAACGCUUUCUUUGCCAGUGCGUUACAAUUUUUGAUAUAAUUUCUAAUGCUUAUGCAAUUUCCAUACCCUCUCUUCCUUUUCUGAUCAGUUAAUCUAGAUUUGUGCAUUAUAUUACAUGUUCUGCUAUUACAGAGUAUGUCAUCUAACUGGUAAAAUUUUACUUGCAUACUUUUAUCUAUUUAGAAAAAAUAUCACUCUUGCUAUCAGUAAUUAUUUCCAUUAAUUGACCCAAAUUUAACGAAUUGUAUUGCAGGCACUGCAAUCGAUUGUCGUCCCCAAUCGUCAUUGAGGGAAAAGCUUGCUGGGAUCUGUACAUUGAUGGACUUGUCUUGUUCUGAUGGUAAUUUGCUUGAUGCACUAGCUGCUGCGAUAAAGGAACCUACUUUAGUAUUUUUCUCAGGGUACAUGCAUUAGUUUUCCAUAAAAGGCUGGAUUACUAGAAGCAAUUAAAUGAGCGCUGGAUAAACAAAAAUGAGAUUUUGCUACCCCUUGUACAUUGCUGGCCAUGGACGCAUGUAUUCUUUCACUGAGCCUGUAGAGUAUUACUUAAACGACUACAAAUGCUUUCUUUUAGUGGUGGUCUGGCGGAUAAUUUUUUAUUUACAUACUGGAUAGAAGGUCAAAUGCAAGAAUUUCGCAACAAACUGGAUAGAAAACAAAUCACUAUAUGCAAGGCGUGCGGGUACGACCUAAAGCUAAGCUCUCUGGUGUUGUACAUGGCGGCCGGCGCGACGAGGCGGCGGCGGAGGGUGGUGGUGUUUGAGGCGGACGGUUGCUGUGCUGCAAGUGCGGCGCCCACCUCGACAUGCGGGCGCUCUGCCUCUUCUUGCGCCGGACGCGGUUGCUGUGCUGCAAGUGCGGCGCCCACCUCGGGUACGGCUACUACGGGCAUGACACCACCGCCGACAGCAAGGCUCCCCGUUCGCCAAGGAGUACCAGAAGCAUAUGACCGGCAUGGAGGAAGAUCUUCCUGCUCUGGGGCUGGAGCGCCUCAAAGAAAUGAUCAAGAAAUGCCAGGCUACGCCCUGUUCCCCGCAGGGCCUCGGCGACGAGAGAGACGUCGCCGUCCCAGGAGGUAGCCAGUGCUCCGGGGCUAGCCAUUGCUAUGGAACUGGUUCCAGAAGAUUGACAAGAUCAAGGACUCUAACAGGCAGUCCAAGCAGCUGGAGGAGCUCACUGGGAAGAUGAGGGAGUGCAAGCGCUUAAUCGCAGACCUCGCAGGUGUUGGUGACGCCCUUGCCAGGCCUCGGCCGCGGCCGUUCAUUCAGGAACACCACGCACGCUCUGUUGAGUGGAGGCCGGUGGGCGAGGCAGAGCGGGCAGCAAGGGAGCUGCUAGAUGCAGGGGCCGGCCGCCCGGCCGGCGGGGGAGCUCGCCUCUGCUCCAUGGAGGCCCCGCCUCCUCUGCUUCUGGUUCUGGAGGCCCCGCCUCCUCUGGUCCUGGAGCGGUCGCGGAUGGAGAGCGUGCGAUUGCAGCUCCGGCGCGGCGCCAGACGGGGACAGAGCUCUGGCGCGGGACGUGGACGUCGGGAUCAAGAUUGAUUUUGAUUUGAGGACCACAGCUGAGAAGAAUUGAACUCGCGAGGGGGUUUUGACAAAAUGAUAAUUGAGCAUAGGCUGAGUCAUCUAAAUCGGGCUGGAGGGAGUACAACUUUUAGUUGAAAAUCUGAUAUUUAGAAUGCUGUGAAGUUACAUGUAUUACAAAUUUUUUAUGGUGUGAUAUAUAGACUUCUGGAUUAUGUA